AACUUUUCUAUAUGUACAACCUAAAACCGGCCAAUGUCAAAUAGAAAUUGAGCAAUGGCAAUAGUGAAGAAAACAAAAUUAGCUUCCCUUCUUCCAAGUUUGCUUCUUAUAUUUCUAUCUCUAUCCUUUAAUGUGCCAGUCUCGGGGACUAGACUCCAUUACGUAGGUUAGUAUCUCACUAUUCCGAUAAAUUUUCCUCGCUACACAUUCUUGUUUUACCAUCCAGUAAAUAUUAUUAAAAGAAAAUCUUGAGUUUACAUGGUUUUAAUAGAGUUCAUAUCUUAAUACGGAAAAUAAGAUGAAUAAUCUAGAUAUAAUUUUCCACAGCUAUAAUUAAUUUAAACAAUUCACUUAAGAAAUCAAAACCAAUAGUACAACGGUAACUUUUAUUUUAUUUUUUACUUCAUAGCUUGAUUGUUGAUCGUGAAGAUAGUUUUCUAUCUAGAGAUAUUAAUUUUUGUUUGAUCUCAUCUUUUGAUAUUCGUUUUUACUUACCGAUUCUUAUGUAUCAAGUUCGCAUUCCCGUUCAUUCUUCGCGAUCCACUCCGCCGUCUUCAUCGUGUGGAAGUGGUAUUUAUCACGUUGCCGGGGCAACAGAGAGGUUGUGUAGACACCCUAAAAAACCGUCUGCUGCUUCAAAUCCUUGACUUCUCGUAAAAGUUAGUAAAUUUGAAGAAGACAUUCAGUAUCAAAUUUCCAAAUCAUCAAAUGUUUGUUAGUCAAUAAAAUUAAAGAAUAAUCUUCUUUCUCAUUUUCUGUUCUAGCAACUUUAUUUGCUUGUUGACUUGUUGUAUUUGUGUUUGAGAAUAAUUUCUCGGAUUUGAUUUGUGGGUUUUGUACCGUGAAAGUUGUUUAAUCCUUUAUUUAUGAUUAUUAACCAAACCGGAAAUUAAAAUCUUAACCGGGUAUCUCAGUAAACAUUUACAUUUGAUAUCUACACUUACUUACCACCUUCUUAUUGUUUGUUUCUUACCAUGUCUCCGGUCUGUUACCUUCCCUACAAAAGAUCAUCAGCUUCAAAUUCCGUUACUCCGAGCAUCGCAAGCGUAAGAUGACUCUUCAUCUCAGAUUUUGUCCGUUGCAACUGCGGAUAACAGUCCAUUAUACCCGGA
rnacentral:lncRNA from 1 species